rnacentral:rRNA from 1 species
UCCAGACUCCUACGGGAGGCAGCAAUGGGGGAUAUUGCACAAUGGGGGGAACCCUGAUGCAGCGACGCCGCGUGGGUGAAGGAGCGUUUCGGCGCGUAAAGCCCUAUCGGCAGGGAAGAAGGAGGACGGUACCUGACUAAGAAGCCCCGGAUAACUACGUGCCAGCAGCCGCGGUAAUACGUAGGGGGCAAGCGUUAUCCGGAUUUACUGGGUGUAAAGGGAGCGUAGACGGUCCUGCAAGCCAGAUGUGAAAGCCCGGGGCUCAACCCCGGGACUGCAUUUGGAACUGUAAGGCUAGAGUGUCGGAGAGGCAGGCGGAAUUCCUAGUGUAGCGGUGAAAUGCGUAGAUAUUAGGAGGAACACCAGUGGCGAAGGCGGCCUGCUGGACUGCAACUGACGUUGAGGCUCGAAGGCGUGGGGAGCAAACAGGAUUAGAUACCCUGGUA